GCUCUCCCAUUUAGGCUCCCUAACGCCCUCUGAACUAGAUGACCUUAUCCCAAACCUAAGGGCCACUUGCGCUUCUGCAAUUCAACAUUUUUCAGAUUUCAGAGAGUCCCUAAGGAGCCUGGACUACACAAGCACGAAGCCCUUCCUUGGACACUGUCAACCACGUGGACAUUCCUGCAGCACAAAGUGCGCACAGAUACAGAAGGAAGGAGGCUGCUGCUUCAGGUCACAUCCGGUUUUACUGCCCCAAGUGUUGUGCCAAACCUAGACGGAAAAACACCCCAAACCUGCUUUCCGAGGGUGAAUUUCGGAGUUGAAGGUUGGAUGUGCUAUCAACUCCAUUUUCCAGGCCAAGACCCUGGGGCUCGGAGAGGAUGGGGUGCCUUGCCUAUUGGCACCGGCAGCAGUGCUUGGGCCAGAGUCAACCAGAAAAUCUCAGAUUCCAGAGCCUGUGCCUAAAUGCCCCCAGCCUGGCCCACAGGCUUUCUUGGGUGUCUACGGAAAAGAGAUGUGUCUGAAGUCUUUCUGCCACCCCAAAGACUCAGACUUUCCUUCCCAUCCCUCCGGCUCUCAUCAUUUGUCUUCUCCGUGACCUCACCCAAAAAUGAAGAAGGGAAGAUACUGUUUUUCCUUCAGCUAUCACAGACACAGGCAGCAUCAGCCUUGAUCUCUUUACUCCCUUAGGAAUCUGAGGUUUGCUCCUGAGAGACAGAGUUGAGAAGGAAAGGAAGGGAGAGUGCGGAGAAGGGAGGGGAGGGGUGGGGACCCCGGGGGGGUGGGGAGGGGGAAAAGAGAGAGAAAGGACCAGAAGCCUGGAAUCCAACAGUGAUCAAAGCAUUAUAAAAAUCCUAAUGAUUUAAGAUGUCUGGGCUGCUGCAGUGUCCGCUGCCCCCAGCCUCUCACUCCCCUGCUAGAGCCGGCUGCAUAAGGAGACGCCUCUAGGAGUGGAUGGUGGCCAGGGCUUCAGAUCCGGGCAGUACAGCCCCCACAGGCUGGUAAAAUGCUCAGCUCACUGACCGCAUCCAGCAGAGGUGGGGGUUCAAGGGCAGAGUUCAGAGGAAAGGGUGUGCUACCUAGGGAUGUGUGAGAACUUGAGAAUGACAUGGGACUUUACCGGGCUAGAAGAAUGGGGGGUCUGAUCAACCCAGUGCUCAAGGAGUCAGUUGACACUGGCUGCUUUCAGGGUGAUGGGAGGUACCACGACGUGCAGAGGGACUUGCGGAGAGACAGCAUCUUCAGCACUGCCCCUCUUACCGCCUCUGCUCUAAUAGGCUUUCUGCCAGGAGAGCACAUCUACCUGAAAUUACACACCACCCUGAAAUGACCAGGGGAGCUUGUGGUUUGUGAUUGUUUUGAUAUGUAUGUAUGUAUGUAUGUAUGUAUGUAUGUAUGUAUUUUGCU
rnacentral:lncRNA from 1 species